UACGAAGGGGGCUAGCGUUGUUCGGAAUCACUGGGCGUAAAGGGCGCGUAGGCGGCUUGAUAAGUCGGGGGUGAAAGCCUGUGGCUCAACCACAGAAUUGCCUUCGAUACUGUCGAGCUUGAAACCGGAAGAGGUAAGUGGAACUGCGAGUGUAGAGGUGAAAUUCGUAGAUAUUCGCAAGAACACCAGUGGCGAAAGCGGCUUCCUGGUCCAGCACCGACGUUCAGGCACGAAAGCGUGGGGAGCAAACAGG
rnacentral:rRNA from 1 species